AAUCAACGCUGGCGGCGUGCCUCAGACAUGCAAGUCGAACGAGAACCUCCCUUCGGGGAGGGGACAGUGGCGCACGGGUGAGUAACACGUGGGUAAUUUACCUUUGGGUGGGGAACAACAGCCGGAAACGGCUGCUAAUACCGCAUAAUGCAGCGGCUCGACAUCGAGACAGUUGUUAAAGCGGGGAUCGCAAGACCUCGCGCCUGAAGAGAAGCCUGCGGCGGAUUAGCAGUUGGUAGGGUAAUGGCCUACCAAGGCGACGAUCUGUAACCGGCCUGAGAGGGGCGGUCGGUCACACUGACACUGACAUACGGGUCAGACUCCUACGGGAGGCAGCAGUCGGGAAUUUUGGGCAAUGGGCGAAAGCCU
rnacentral:rRNA from 1 species